rnacentral:rRNA from 1 species
GCACAACAACGGGUGGAGCCUGCGGUUUAAUUGGACUCAACGCCGGACAACUCACCGGGGGCGACAGCAAUAUGUAGGUCAGGCUGAAGACUUUACCUGAAUCGCUGAGAGGAGGUGCAUGGCCGUCGCCAGUUCGUACUGUGAAGCAUCCUGUUAAGUCAGGCAACGAGCGAGACCCGUGCCCACUGUUACCAGCAUGUCCUCCGGGACGAUGGGUACUCUGUGGGGACCGCCGGUGUUAAAUCGGAGGAAGGUGCGGGCCACGGUAGGUCAGUAUGCCCCGAAUCUCCCGGGCUACACGCGGGCUACAAUGGAUGGGACAAUGGGUCCCUACCCUGAAAAGGGCUGGUAAUCUCACAAACCCAUUCUUAGUUCGGAUCGAGGGCUGUAACUCGCCCUCGUGAAGCUGGAAUCCCUAGUAACCGCGUGUCACCAUCGCGCGGUGAAUACGUCCCUGCUCCUUGCACACACCGCCCGUCGCUUCACCGAAGUUGGACUAGGACGAGGUGGCGUCUUGUUGGCGCUAUCGAAUCUUAGUUCGGCAACGGGGGAG